AAUGCAUUUUAUAUGAAUGGCCAAAAGCUGCAGAUUUUGCUCAGUUUCUGCUAUCAAUCUGCCAUUAAAUUGCGCGCAGAUCCUGCUCGGUUUCUGUCGCCAAUCUAUUGUCAGAUUCUGUGAGCAGGUUCUGCUGGCAGAUUGUAAGUCUAAUGCGAAUAUAACAAAGGUUAAUUGCGAACAAGAACUGAGAGAAUCUGUUGCCAAUCUACUGGAAUAUUGCGCGCAUUAUAUUUUGCUUACUUCAUGAAGAUGUCGUUUUUCAAUUCUGAUUUUUAUAGGUUUAGCAAAAUUUAGCAACAAGUUAUAAUAUAAAUCAAUUUGAUCUAUCUGAAUGCUCUCAUCUAUUUUAAAUACGAAUGUCCUAAACUAAACGGCAUGUAAAACGAAUCAGACUUUCCUAUAUCUUCAGGCAGGAAUCUGUCCGGAUCAAAUACUAACGGAUUGGGCCAGUGCUUUUCAUUUCGAUGUGCCGCCAUUAUUUGUAUAACAACAUCA